rnacentral:rRNA from 1 species
CCGGAAUCAUUGGGUGUAAAGCGCCUGUAGGUUGUUUGAUAAGUCUGUUGUUAAAGCCUAGGGCUUAACCCUAGAAAAGCGAUGGAAACUACCAGACUAGAGUAUGGAAGGGGUAGAGGGAAUUUCUAGUGUAGCGGUGAAAUGCGUAGAUACUAGAAAGAACACCAGAAGCGAAAGCGCUCUACUGGGCCAGUACUGACACUCAGAGGCGAAAGCUAGGGUAGCAAAAGGGAUUAGAUACCCCUGUAGUCCUAGCCGUAAACGAUGGAUACUAGAUGUUGUGCGUUACUUGCAACAGAUGUUGCAGAUUAACAUGCAGUGACGAAGCUAACGCGUUAAGUAUCCCACCUGGGGAGUACGCUCGCAAGGGUGAAACUCAAAGGAAUCGACGGGGGCCUGCACAAGCGGUGGAGCAUGUGGUUUAAUUCGAUGCAACGCGAAGAACCUUACCAGGAUUUGACAUACUACAAAUCUUUUUGAGAAAAAAGAGCGCCUUCGGGAAUGUAGAUACAGGUGGUGCAUGGCUGUCGUCAGCUCGUGUCGUGAGAUGUUGGGUUAAGUCCCGCAACGAGCGCAACCCUUAUUUUUAGUUACUAACUUGUUAGGUUCUCUAGAAAGACUGCCGGUGACAAACCGGAGGAAGGUGAGGAUGACGUCAAGUCAGCAUGCCCCUUAUAUCCUGGGCUACACACGUGCUACAAUGGUAAAGACAAUGAGUCGCAAGCUCGCGAGAGUCUGCU